rnacentral:rRNA from 1 species
UACGAAGGGGGCUAGCGUGGUUCGGAAUCACUGGGCGUAAAGCGCACGCAGGCGGAUUGAUAAGUCAGGGGUGAAAUCCCGGAGCUCAACUUCGGAAUUGCCUUUGAUACUGUCUGUCUUCGAGUUCGGGAGAGGUUGGCGGAAUUCCUAGUGUAGAGGUGAAAUUCGUAGAUAUUAGGAAGAACACCAGUGGCGAAGGCGGCCAACUGGCCCGACACUGACGCUCAUGUGCGAAAGCGUGGGGAGCAAACAGG